UGCCUAAACCUAUCGGAUAACCGUUGGCAUGGCAUCAAAUCUCAAGACAAUACUGAACCCCGUGUUCAGCUACUUGUCUUGAGUCAUGCAUCGAAAGGUGCGUGGGGCCGUAAGGCUC
rnacentral:sRNA from 1 species